rnacentral:misc_RNA from 1 species
AAGUCGUAACAAGAUCUCCGUUAAUGAACCAAUGGAGGGAUCAUUAUCAAAUUACGUAUUCAAAUAACUCUUCUGUGAACUUAAAUUUAAACCGUUGCCUUGGCGGACGGUCCUCUGUCAAAAUCUAUGUAAUACAGACAGGGGACCAGAUAGUCCGGUACGCUUAAGGCAUCCGGCACCAGCUGUUGGUCUCAAACAAUUAAACUCUAGUAACCUUAUCUUCUGAGUUUUAAUACAAAAACAAAUAAGUCAAAACUUUCAACAAUGGAUUUCUUAACUUUG